rnacentral:misc_RNA from 1 species
AAUUGGUGUCCUGUAAGUUCUCCUAAAGUCUUUAUGCUGACUCUUCUACUCCUGUCACUUGUUAACACUACCCUUAAAAAAAAGAGAACAGGAAAAGAAAGGCUGCAAUAAACUUGAUCAGGUACAGAAAUUAUUGCUACUAUACUUCACUACAAAGCUUGUCUAUACAGUAUCAUAUGACCUUUGAUUAUGAAAAAAUCAGAAUAAAAAUCUUUAGUGACAUAAGCCUUACAAUCGUAUACAACAUUCACAUGGCAAUAUUAGACAGUUAAGCACCCAAUACCCAUAGUUGACAAAAUGUCCCACUGACCAGCAUUCAUUUAAAUACAUCCUUCGUACAGAGGGAGGA